rnacentral:misc_RNA from 1 species
GAUGAAGAACGCAGCGAAAUGCGAUAAGUAAUGUGAAUUGCAGAAUUCAGUGAAUCAUCGAGUCUUUGAACGCACAUUGCGCCCCCUGGUAUUCCGGGGGGCAUGCCUGUCCGAGCGUCAUUGCUGCCCUCAAGCACGGCUUGUGUGUUGGGCCCCGCCCCCCGGCUCCCGGGGGGCGGGCCCGAAAGGCAGCGGCGGCACCGCGUCCGGUCCUCGAGCGUAUGGGGCUUCGUCACCCGCUCCGUAGGCCCGGCCGGCGCCCGCCGGCGACCCCCCUCAAUCUUUUCAGGUUGACCUCGGAUCAGGUAGGGAUACCCGCUGAACUUAAGCAUACAAUAAGCGGAGGA